rnacentral:snoRNA from 1 species
ACGAUCGUACUUCUAGGGAUCAGUCCUAUAGUACGUAUCACUAGGACAUCAAACAAAUAGAGAAUUCUAUUAUGAUAUGUUCUAUAUUUUGUUCACAUUUUAUUUGGACAUAUUAUUGCAUUGA